rnacentral:rRNA from 1 species
UUAAGCGACUAAGCGUACACGGUGGAUGCCCUGGCAGUCAGAGGCGAUGAAGGACGUGCUAAUCUGCGAAAAGCGUCGGUAAGGUGAUAUGAACCGUUAUAACCGGCGAUGUCCGAAUGGGGAAACCCAGUGCAAUUCGUUGCACUAUCGUUAACUGAAUACAUAGGUUAACGAGGCGAACCGGGGGAACUGAAACAUCUAAGUACCCCGAGGAAAAGAAAUCAACCGAGAUUCCCCCAGUAGCGGCGAGCGAACGGGGAGCAGCCCAGAGUCUGAAUCAGCUUGUGUGUUAGUGGAACGGUCUGGAAAGUCCGACGGUACAGGGUGAUAGUCCCGUACACCAAAAUGCACAGGUUGUGAACUCGAAGAGUAGGGCGGGACACGUGGUAUCCUGUCUGAAUAUGGGGGGACCAUCCUCCAAGGCUAAAUACUCCUGACUGACCGAUAGUGAACCAGUACCGUGAGGGAAAGGCGAAAAGAACCCCGGCGAGGGGAGUGAAAAAGAACCUGAAACCGUGUACGUACAAGCAGUGGGAGCACCUUCGGGUGUGACUGCGUACCUUUUGUAUAAUGGGUCAGCGACUUAUAUUCUGUAGCAAGGUUAACCGUAUAGGGGAGCCGCAGGGAAACCGAGUCUUAACUGGGCGUUAAGUUGCAGGGUAUAGACCCGAAACCCGGUGAUCUAGCCAUGGGCAGGUUGAAGGUUGGGUAACACUAACUGGAGGACCGAACCGACUAAUGUUGAAAAAUUAGCGGAUGACUUGUGGCUGGGGGUGAAAGGCCAAUCAAACCGGGAGAUAGCUGGUUCUCCCCGAAAGCUAUUUAGGUAGCGCCUCGUGAAUUCAUCUUCGGGGGUAGAGCACUGUUUCGGCUAGGGGGUCAUCCCGACUUACCAACCCGAUGCAAACUACGAAUACCGAAGAAUGUUAUCACGGGAGACACACGGCGGGUGCUAACGUCCGUCGUGAAGAGGGAAACAACCCAGACCGCCAGCUAAGGUCCCAAAGUCAUGGUUAAGUGGGAAACGAUGUGGGAAGGCACAGACAGCCAGGAUGUUGGCUUAGAAGCAGCCAUCAUUUAAAGAAAGCGUAAUAGCUCACUGGUCGAGUCGGCCUGCGCGGAAGAUGUAACGGGGCUAAACCAUGCACCGAAGCUGCGGCAGCGACACUAUGUGUUGUUGGGUAGGGGAGCGUUCUGUAAGCCUGCGAAGGUGACCUGUGAGGGUUGCUGGAGGUAUCAGAAGUGCGAAUGCUGACAUAAGUAACGAUAAAGCGGGUGAAAAGCCCGCUCGCCGGAAGACCAAGGGUUCCUGUCCAACGUUAAUCGGGGCAGGGUGAGUCGACCCCUAAGGCGAGGCCGAAAGGCGUAGUCGAUGGGAAACAGGUUAAUAUUCCUGUACUUGGUGUUACUGCGAAGGGGGGACGGAGAAGGCUAUGUUAGCCGGGCGACGGUUGUCCCGGUUUAAGCAUGUAGGCUGGUURUCCAGGCAAAUCCGGAUAAUCAAGGCUGAGGUGUGAUGACGAGGCACUACGGUGCUGAAGUAACAAAUGCCCUGCUUCCAGGAAAAGCCUCUAAGCAUCAGGUAACAUYAAAUCGUACCCCAAACCGACACAGGUGGUCAGGUAGAGAAUACCAAGGCGCUUGAGAGAACUCGGGUGAAGGAACUAGGCAAAAUGGUGCCGUAACUUCGGGAGAAGGCACGCUGGUGUGUAGGUGAAGYCCCUGCGGRUGGAGCUGAGACCAGUCGAAGAUACCAGCUGGCUGCAACUGUUUAUUAAAAACACAGCACUGUGCAAACACGAAAGUGGACGUAUACGGUGUGACGCCUGCCCGGUGCCGGAAGGUUAAUUGAUGGGGUUAUCCGUAAGGAGAAGCUCUUGAUCGAAGCCCCGGUAAACGGCGGCCGUAACUAUAACGGUCCUAAGGUAGCGAAAUUCCUUGUCGGGUAAGUUCCGACCUGCACGAAUGGCGUAAUGAUGGCCAGGCUGUCUCCACCCGAGACUCAGUGAAAUUGAACUCGCUGUGAAGAUGCAGUGUACCCGCGGCAAGACGGAAAGACCCCGUGAACCUUUACUAUAGCUUGACACUGAACAUUGAGCCUUGAUGUGUAGGAUAGGUGGGAGGCUUUGAAGCGUGGACGCCAGUCUGCGUGGAGCCAACCUUGAAAUACCACCCUUUAAUGUUUGAUGUUCUAACGUUGGCCCCUKACCGGGGUUGCGGACAGUGUCUGGUGGGUAGUUUGACUGGGGCGGUCUCCUCCCAAAGCGUAACGGAGGAGCACGAAGGUUAGCUAAUCCUGGUCGGACAUCAGGAGGUUAGUGCAAUGGCAUAAGCUAGCUUGACUGCGAGCGUGACGGCGCGAGCAGGUGCGAAAGCAGGUCAUAGUGAUCCGGUGGUUCUGAAUGGAAGGGCCAUCGCUCAACGGAUAAAAGGUACUCCGGGGAUAACAGGCUGAUACCGCCCAAGAGUUCAUAUCGACGGCGGUGUUUGGCACCUCGAUGUCGGCUCAUCACAUCCUGGGGCUGAAGUAGGUCCCAAGGGUAUGGCUGUUCGCCAUUUAAAGUGGUACGCGAGCUGGGUUUAGAACGUCGUGAGACAGUUCGGUCCCUAUCUGCCGUGGGCGCUGGAGAAUUGAGGGGGGCUGCUCCUAGUACGAGAGGACCGGAGUGGACGCAUCACUGGUGUUCGGGUUGUCAUGCCAAUGGCACUGCCCGGUAGCUAAAUGCGGAAGAGAUAAGUGCUGAAAGCAUCUAAGCACGAAACUUGCCCCGAGAUGAGUUCUCCCUGAGACUUUAAG